UCCUACGGGCGGCUGCAGUGGGGAAUAUUGGACAAUGGGCGCAAGCCUGAUCCAGCCAUGCCGCGUGAGUGAAGAAGGCCUUCGGGUUGUAAAGCUCUUUCAGAGGUGACGAUGAUGACGGUAACCUCAGAAGAAGCCCCGGCUAACUUCGUGCCAGCAGCCGCGGUAAUACGAAGGGGGCUAGCGUUGUUCGGAAUUACUGGGCGUAAAGCGCGCGUAGGCGGUGUGCAUAGUCAGGGGUGAAAUCCCGGGGCUCAACCUCGGAAUUGCCUUGGAUACUGGCACGCUUGAAUCCGUGAGAGGGUGGUGGAAUGGCCAGUGUAGAGGUGAAAUUCGUAGAUAUUGGCCGGAACACCAGUGGCGAAGGCGGCCACCUGGCGCGGUAUUGACGCUGAGGCGCGAAAGCGUGGGGAGCAAACAGGAUUAGAUACCCUAGUAGUC
rnacentral:rRNA from 1 species